rnacentral:rRNA from 1 species
GACGAACGCUGGCGGCGUGCCUAAUACAUGCAAGUCGAACGCAGUGGGGACGGGUGAGUAACACGUGGGUCACCUCCCAUCAGAGGGGAUAACACUUGGAAACAGGUACUAAACCGAUACUGAUGGAUGGACCCGCGGUGCAUUAGCUAGUGGGUGAGGUAACGGAUCACCAAGGCAACGUGGCAUAGCGGACGUGGUAGGGUGAUCGGGCACACUGUAACUGAAACACGGCCCAGACUCCUACGGGAGGGAGCGGUAGAGAGACUUCGGCAAUGGAAGAAAGUCUGACCGAGCAACGCCGCGUGAGUGAAGAAGGUAUUCGGAUCGUAAAACUCUGUUGUUAGAGAAGCGGUAUCUAACCAGAAAGCCACGGCUAACUACGUGCCAGCAGCCGCGGUAAUUC